CGGGCGGCGGGCUACACAUGCAGUCGAGCGGAAACGAUGGAAGCUUGCUUCCAGGCGUCGAGCGGCGGACGGGUGAGUAAUGCAUAGGAAUCUGCCCGAUAGUGGGGGAUAACCUGGGGAAACCCAGGCUAAUACCGCAUACGUCCUACGGGAGAAAGCAGGGGAUCUUCGGACCUUGCGCUAUCGGAUGAGCCUAUGUCGGAUUAGCUAGUUGGUGAGGUAAUGGCUCACCAAGGCUGCGAUCCGUAGCUGGUCUGAGAGGAUGAUCAGCCACAUCGGGACUGAGACACGGCCCGAACUCCUACGGGAGGCAGCAGUGGGGAAUAUUGGACAAUGGGCGAAAGCCUGAUCCAGCCAUGCCGCGUGUGUGAAGAAGGCUUUCGGGUUGUAAAGCACUUUCAGUGGGGAAGAAAUCCUCGGGGCCAAUACCCUCGAGGGAGGACAUCACCCACAGAAGAAGCACCGGCUAACUCCGUGCCAGCAGCCGCGGUAAUACGGAGGGUGCGAGCGUUAAUCGGAAUUACUGGGCGUAAAGCGCGCGUAGGCGGCGUGAUAAGCCGGUUGUGAAAGCCCCGGGCUCAACCUGGGAACGGCAUCCGGAACUGUCAGGCUAGAGUGCAGGAGAGGAAGGUAGAAUUCCCGGUGUAGCGGUGAAAUGCGUAGAGAUCGGGAGGAAUACCAGUGGCGAAGGCGGCCUUCUGGACUGACACUGACGCUGAGGUGCGAAAGCGUGGGUAGCAAACAGGAUUAGAUACCCUGGUAGUCCACGCUGUAAACGAUGUCGACUAGCCGUUGGGGUCCUUGUGACCUUUGUGGCGCAGUUAACGCGAUAAGUCGACCGCCUGGGGAGUACGGCCGCAAGGUUAAAACUCAAAUGAAUUGACGGGGGCCCGCACAAGCGGUGGAGCAUGUGGUUUAAUUCGAUGCAACGCGAAGAACCUUACCUACUCUUGACAUCGUGCGAACUUUCCAGAGAUGGAUUGGUGCCUUCGGGAACGCACAGACAGGUGCUGCAUGGCCGUCGUCAGCUCGUGUUGUGAAAUGUU
rnacentral:rRNA from 1 species